GACGAACGCUGGCGGCGUGCUUAACACAUGCAAGUCGAACGGAAAGGCCCUGCUUUUGUGGGGUGCUCGAGUGGCGAACGGGUGAGUAACACGUGAGUAACCUGCCCUUGACUUUGGGAUAACUUCAGGAAACUGGGGCUAAUACCGGAUAGGAGCUCCUGCUGCAUGGUGGGGGUUGGAAAGUUUCGGCGGUUGGGGAUGGACUCGCGGCUUAUCAGCUUGUUGGGGGGGUAGUGGCUUACCAAGGCUUUGACGGGUAGCCGGCCUGAGAGGGUGACCGGCCACAUUGGGACUGAGAGACGGCCCAGACUCCUACGGGAGGCAGCAGUGGGGAAUAUUGCAGAAUGGGCGGAAGCCUGAUGCAGCAACGCCGCGUGCGGGAUGACGGCCUUCGGGUUGUAAACCGCUUUCGCCUGUGACGAAGCGUGAGUGACGGUAAUGGGUAAAGAAGCACCGGCUAACUACGUG
rnacentral:rRNA from 1 species